rnacentral:misc_RNA from 1 species
GAAAUGCGAUAAGUAAUGUGAAUUGCAGAAUUCAGUGAAUCAUCGAAUCUUUGAACGCACAUUUCGCCCGCCAGCACUCUGGCGGGCAUGCCUGUUCGAGCGUCAUUUCAACCCUCAGAACCCCUUGCGGGAUCUGGCGUUGUGGAUUGGCAUCCAGCCAGCCCCGAAAUCUAGUGGCGGUCCCUCCGCGACCUCCCCUGUGCAGUAGCGAUACCUCGCAGCGGGACAGCGGUCUGACCACGCCGUAAAACCCCCAACUUCUCAAGGUUGACCUCGAAUCAGGUAGGAAUACCCGCUGAACUUAAGC